rnacentral:rRNA from 1 species
AACGCUAGCUACAGGCUUAACACAUGCAAGUCGAGGGGCAGCACAGUGUAGCAAUACACGGGUGGCGACCGGCGCACGGGUGCGUAACGCGUAUCCAACCUUCCCGAUACUCUUGGAUAGCCUUCCGAAAGGGAGAUUAAUACAAGAUGGUGUUUCACUUUCGCAUGUUAUUGAAACUAAAGAUUUAUCGGUAUCGGAUGGGGAUGCGUGACAUUAGAUAGUAGGCGGGGUAACGGCCCACCUAGUCUACGAUGUCUAGGGGUUCUGAGAGGAAGGUCCCCCACACUGGAACUGAGACACGGUCCAGACUCCUACGGGAGGCAGCAGUGAGGAAUAUUGGUCAAUGGUCGGAAGACUGAACCAGCCAAGUAGCGUGAAGGAUGAAGGUUCUAUGGAUUGUAAACUUCUUUUAUACGGGAAUAAAACCUCCCACGUGUGGGAGCUUGUAUGUACCGUAUGAAUAAGCAUCGGCUAACUCCGUGCCAGCAGCCGCGGUAAUACGGAGGAUCCGAGCGUUAUCCGGAUUUAUUGGGUUUAAAGGGUGCGUAGGCGGAAUGAUCAGUCAGUUGUGAAAGUUUGAGGCUCAACCUUAAAAUUGCAUUUGAUACUGUCAUUCUUGAGUGUACAAGAGGUGGGCGGAAUUCGUGGUGUAGCGGUGAAAUGCUUAGAUAUCACGAAGAACUCCGAUUG